rnacentral:tRNA from 1 species
ACAUAGUUUAAUGGUAAAACAAACCUUCCAAGUUAAAAAUACGAGUUCAAUUCUCGCUGU